AGUCCCAUCACAAACACAGACGUAUACGAGGGAUGGCUAGACGGCCUCUAGUGACCUGGCUGCCCCCUGACGCCUUCUCCGGCAUGAGGAUACCACAGAAGGGCAGAGAGAUAAAGGAAGGCAUUGUUUAUCCACCUGUUAACUUCCACCAUGGAUGGACUCUUGAACAACCCAAACUGACAAGAAUCUGACUCCAGACUAAAGGACCUGAGAAGAACCACUUAGGAGAUGGUAUUUCAGCUCAUGGUCUCAGUCAACAAUGGUGGGGAAGGCGUGGCAGAAGGAGCGCAUGAAUUCCUCACAUGGCGGCGGUGGACUGAGACUGGGAUUAGAGGCGGGAGAGAACUUUCAAAGGCCUGCCCUCAGCGACCUGCUUUUACCAGCGAGGCCCUACCUGGUAAUGGUCCCGCAACCACGAUAUUCAGCAAGAAUUAACUCUGCUUUUAAAAUAUAUUUUCGCGCGAUGCAACUUCGCCAUUGAUUUUGUUUUUAAGGCAGGCUCGCAUGUGGCCCAGGCUGGCUUUUGACCUGUUAGGCAGCCAAAGCUGGCCUUGCAAACCUGAGUGUUGGACACAGGAGGUGUGUGUGCACUCAGCUGGAUUCAUAGCGCUUAUGUAUAAGAAGAGAGUUCCCAAGUUCCUUGAAGUUUAACAAGAAGCUCCUGCCAGCUUGCAGAAACUGCCUGCGUGUGGGAAAGCCCCACCCACCUCUACCUUGGAGGCAAUGGGUCCUGCCCUCCUCUGGCCAGUAGGAAGGAAGUGUACAGACUCCUCUCCCCUCCCAGCCCUCACUACUUGAAGAUGAUGCCAUUUCGGAUGGGUUGAGUCCAGCUCUGAGUCUAGAUUCUGUGACCUUCAGACAAUGACGGUGUGUUAAGGUGACACUCACUCAGAAUGUCACAGAGAGGCUCCUCUCGGACAGGGAAUUCUGGAACGAACUUCCAGUCCUGCCUCUGGGAACCACGUGGGCAGUGUGAUCACAGGCUUAUACGUUUUAUAACACCCGUGAAUGCUGGAGGAGACACACUUCAGAGAUGGUUAAACAAGACCCCGAAUUCCCUCGUGGACUAUUUUUAAGGCCAUCAAUCUCCGUAUCAGUUGCAAUUUACAGCCCUAAUAGCUAUUCUUUGCCUCUGUACGUACCCAUAAAUAAAUCCAACAUAAAGGAGAAGGUAAUUUAGACGUAAUGGAAGCAAAGCCUACGCCGCCGUGGGUGACUCAGCUCUUCCCCACUGCCUAUCCUUCUUUGUGAGGUCUUAGCUGCACCCCCUUCUGUAGACGGACUCUGCAAACAGCAAGCAGCUCUCCCAAAGCUCCAGGAAAGACUCCCAGGAUGGAAGACAGUUGCUGAAGGAAUUCUGAAAUGCCAGAAGCCACAGCCCCAGAAUGUUCCCGGGAGCCCCAAGGGGCAUCUGUGUAACUGCAGCUAAGCAAACACGAACAGUGCUUACCUCCUAGCAUCCGGUUCUCCUCAGAUCAAAGUUUAUUGAUAAGUCCGGGGGCCCAGAUAGUGGUGCAGAUUCCCACAUCAAAGGGCUCUGUGCGGCUAGGCUUAUCUGGCAGUUCCUGAUUUCUGCAGGGCUCGCUCGCCAGCCCAGAGCAUCUGUCCUGUUUCUCUUCAGAAUGCACGAGAAUAAUGUAGCAGGUUUGGAUGCGAGUCUGUACCAGACCGCCUCUUCCUCCAGUUUGUUUUAUCUCUUGACAUAGCUCCUGACCCACAGCACAGCUCUCUCUUCGAGAGGUUAACCUCAACCCGGAUGUGCAUGGCUGUGCUUUCUGUUCCUGUGGUAAACACCGUAACCAAGAGUGACCGCGAAGGUAAAGGUUCGUUUGGUUUACAGAUAAUAGAGUCCACUGUCAUAGUUAGGGUUU
rnacentral:sRNA from 1 species